CCCAUCAACGCCGCGUGAGGGAUACUGGCCUUCCGGUUGUAAACCUCUUUUCUUGGGGAAGAAUUCUGACGGUACCCAGGGAAUAAGCCUCGGACAACUACGUGCCAGCAGCCGCGGUAAUACGUAGGAGGCGAACGUUAUUCGGAUUUACUGGGCGUAAAGGGAGCGUAGGCGGUUCCUCAAGUCGGAUGUGAAAUCUUCUGACUCAAUCAGGAGGGGCCAUUUGAUACUGGGGGACUUGAGAGCAGCAGAGGGAAAUGGAAUCUCCAGUGUAGCGGUGAAAUGCGUAGA
rnacentral:rRNA from 1 species